CAGCAGCCACGGGAAUACGUAGGUGGCAAGCGUUGUCCGGAAUUAUUGGGCGUAAAGGGCUCGCAGGCGGUUUCUUAAGUCUGAUGUGAAAGCCCCCGGCUCAGCCGGGGAGGGUCAUUGGAAACUGGGAAACUUGAGUGCAGAAGAGGAGAGUGGAAUUCCACGUGUAGCGGUGAAAUGCGUAGAGACGUGGAGGAACACCAGUGGCGAAGGCGACUCUCUGGUCUGUAACUGACGCUGAGGAGCGAAAGCGUGGGGAGCGAACAGGAUUAGAUACCCCCGUAGUCCCUGUCUCUUAUAC
rnacentral:rRNA from 1 species